rnacentral:lncRNA from 1 species
UUCCAUUUCGAAUUCUAGGGUUUUGCUGUUCUCCCGUGCUCUGAAGCCCGCAUCGCCGCAUCAGGUGCGGUUCCUCGCGCUCGACUGAAAAUGGUGAGUGCGCCAACGGAUCCGAUUCUCGCCACGUUUGAUCGGUGGAUCUGUGGUUUCGCGUAUUUGAUCUGUGAUGUUUUGUGGUUUUCAGGCGCUGCCGAAUCAGGGGACUGUGGAUUACCCCAGCUUCAAGCUCGUCAUCGUCGGCGAUGGCGGAACGGGUGAGUUCUUAUCCGUUUCGUGAUGCGAUUAUUUGUUAGAAAUAGUAGAAUCUGAUGUGUUACGUUCUUAAAUACAGUCAGUUUCUACGAGAUCUGAUGGAUUACGCCUUCUGCUGUUGUGUGGAAUCUGUCGAUGUUAUUGUGCUCCGUGAUUUUGUCAUAUUAGAUUAUAUUUUACCGUGAUACUGAAUUUAAUCACGCCCAUGUUAUAGAAUUGCCCACCUCAUUUUUUCCCCACAAACUGGACGAUGGUACUCAGUUUAUGAUUGUAGGGGCUGUUUUUUAUAUUUAUAUAAAAGGAGUACUGUUUUCGGCAUACUUUGAUACUCAUAUAUGUAUUUUGAUCUGUUAAAUUGAUGCAAAUCCGGUUUUUAAUGUAAAUUAGGGGAGGGCAUGGGAAUUGUCUAUUUUUUAGAUGUGGGCUGGUUUUAUUUAUUGAUGAUUCUAAUGUUCGGAAUCCUCACACAGCAGGGAUUCUGUAGAUCCGCACCUAUUUUUCUCUUGAUCAUAAAAGGCACGAACGCUUCCAUGAGAACUCUUGACAUAGGAUGCUGUUUAUGAUUUUUUUUGUAACCUUAUGUAUCUGAUGGUCAAAGCCUAAUGUUAUUGAUUGCUUCAGUAUUUGUACUCUACCUUGUAUGUUUUAAAUCUUGAUGUUUUCUUUGGUUGCAGGUAAAACCACAUUUGUAAAGAGGCAUCUCACCGGAGAGUUUGAGAAGAAAUACGAACGUAAUUGUCAUGUGAACUUGGGUUUCCUUUCAUCUACUUAAUUGUUAAUUAUACUUACUGCAGCUAAUGCAUUUCGUUAAUUCAGCAACCAUUGGUGUCGAAGUUCAUCCUUUGGAUUUCACCACUAACUGCGGUAAGAUCCGUUUCUACUGCUGGGACACGGCUGGGCAAGAGAAGUUUGGUGGCCUCAGGGAUGGAUACUAGUAAGUCUUAUCUGCCAUAGUCUUUUAAGUAAAUGUGAUUUAGUCCCUGCUAAAUUUCAUAUGAAAUUAUAAAUGAUGCCCUACUUUCAGUGACAUGAAUAAUCAAGCUAUCAUACCCUGUAAAUUUAAUCCUUACCUUCAACACAGAACCUGUUCUUUCAUUGCAUUAAGUUACUGCUUCUAAUUUUCUAUUUCCCUGCAGUAUCCAUGGCCAGUGUGCGAUUAUAAUGUUUGAUGUAACCUCAAGGUUGACUUACAAGAAUGUUCCUACAUGGCAUAGGGACCUGUGCAGGUUUGUUUCAAUCUUUCUGUGUCAUACAACUUGCACUUUGAUGUAUAAUGUUGGGGGAUUCUGAUGUUCAAUUAUGAAUUCUUGCAGGGUGUGUGAAAACAUCCCCAUUGUCCUGUGCGGUAACAAGGUUGAUGUGAAGAACAGGCAGGUCAAGGCCAAGCAGGUCACCUUCCACAGGAAGAAGAACCUGCAGUACUAUGAGAUUUCUGCCAAGAGCAACUAUAACUUUGAGAAGCCUUUCCUUUACCUUGCAAGGAAGUUGGCUGGGUAACUAACUAAUUACUUUAAUUUUUCGCAUCUUGAGGUUACAGCAAAUACCUACAUAUAUUAAUUAUUGUCGAUGGCUUUGGUCCUAUCAGCGAUCCCAACCUCCACUUUGUUGAAGCCGUUGCUCUUAAGCCUCCGGAAGUUACCAUUGAUAUGGCUAUGCAGCAACAGUGAGUGUCCACCUUUGUUCUUAUCUACUGUCAUUUUUAUGCACAUCCAAAAUCAGUCACCUUGAUAUUAAGUGUUUCAAGAACUGAUUCUCUUCUCAUUUUGAUUGCAGGCAUGAAGCUGAGCUUGCUGCAGCGGCCGCACAACCUCUUCCUGAUGACGAUGACGAUCUGAUUGAGUAGAAAGUGGAUCAUGAGUCUCAGACCUGAGCAGACGGAGUUGUGCCCUUGCAUAAGAGUUGUUUUAGAACGAACUCUCUAGAGUUAGCGUUGUCUAAAUCUGGAUCUUUUCUGUCUCGAGACGUGUUGCAACUUUUCAAUGUGUUGACAUCGCUGGACUUGUUGCCAUGAAUUUGCUGGCUCCUUUAUACAUUGCUUUGUUA